GAGGGUAUAGCUCAGUGGUAGAUCAUGUGCUUAGCAUGCACAAGGUCCUAGGUUCAGUCCCCAGUACCUCCA
rnacentral:tRNA from 1 species